rnacentral:rRNA from 3 species
AGACCCGAAACCCGGUGAUCUAGCCAUGGGCAGGUUGAAGGUUGGGUAACACUAACUGGAGGACCGAACCGACUAAUGUUGAAAAAUUAGCGGAUGACCUGUGGCUGGGGGUGAAAGGCCAAUCAAACCGGGAGAUAGCUGGUUCUCCCCGAAAGCUAUUUAGGUAGCGCCUCGUGAAUUCAUCUCCGGGGGUAGAGCACUGUUUCGGCUAGGGGGCCAUCCCGGCUUACCAACCCGAUGCAAACUGCGAAUACCGGAGAAUGUUAUCACGGGAGACACACGGCGGGUGCUAACGUCCGUCGUGAAGAGGGAAACAACCCAGACCGCCAGCUAAGGUCCCAAAGUCAUGGUUAAGUGGGAAACGAUGUGGGAAGGCCCAGACAGCCAGGAUGUUGGCUUAGAAGCAGCCAUCAUUUAAAGAAAGCGUAAUAGCUCACUGGUCGAGUCGGCCUGCGCGGAAGAUGUAACGGGGCUAAACCAUGCACCGAAGCUGCGGCAGCGACGCUUAUGCGUUGUUGGGUAGGGGAGCGUUCUGUAAGCCUGUGAAGGUGUGUCGUGAGGCAUGCUGGAGGUAUCAGAAGUGCGAAUGCUGACAUAAGUAACGAUAAAGCGGGUGAAAAGCCCGCUCGCCGGAAGACCAAGGGUUCCUGUCCAACGUUAAUCGGGGCAGGGUGAGUCGACCCCUAAGGCGAGGCCGAAAGGCGUAGUCGAUGGGAAACGGGUUAAUAUUCCCGUACUUGGUGUUACUGCGAAGGGGGGACGGAGAAGGCUAUGUUGGCCGGGCGACGGUUGUCCCGGUUUAAGCGUGUAGGUGUGUGUUCCAGGUAAAUCCGGUUCACUUUAACACUGAGGCGUGAUGACGAGGCACUACGGUGCUGAAGUAACAAAUGCCCUGCUUCCAGGAAAAGCCUCUAAGCAUCAGGUAACAUCAAAUCGUACCCCAAACCGACACAGGUGGUCAGGUAGAGAAUACCAAGGCGCUUGAGAGAACUCGGGUGAAGGAACUAGGCAAAAUGGUGCCGUAACUUCGGGAGAAGGCACGCUGACACGUAGGUGAAGUGAUUUACUCACGGAGCUGAAGUCAGUCGAAGAUACCAGCUGGCUGCAACUGUUUAUUAAAAACACAGCACUGUGCAAACACGAAAGUGGACGUAUACGGUGUGACGCCUGCCCGGUGCCGGAAGGUUAAUUGAUGGGGUCAGCGCAAGCGAAGCUCCUGAUCGAAGCCCCGGUAAACGGCGGCCGUAACUAUAACGGUCCUAAGGUAGCGAAAUUCCUUGUCGGGUAAGUUCCGACCUGCACGAAUGGCGUAAUGAUGGCCAGGCUGUCUCCACCCGAGACUCAGUGAAAUUGAACUCGCUGUGAAGAUGCAGUGUACCCGCGGCAAGACGGAAAGACCCCGUGAACCUUUACUAUAGCUUGACACUGAACAUUGAGCCUUGAUGUGUAGGAUAGGUGGGAGGCUUUGAAGUGUGGACGCCAGUCUGCAUGGAGCCGACCUUGAAAUACCACCCUUUAAUGUUUGAUGUUCUAACGUGGACCCGUUA